rnacentral:rRNA from 1 species
UACGUAGGGGGCAAGCGUUGUCCGGAAUUAUUGGGCGUAAAGAGCGUGUAGGCGGUCCGGUAAGUCAGCUGUGAAAGUCAAGGGCUCAACCCUUGAAAGCCGGUUGAUACUGUCGGGCUAGAGUCCGGAAGAGGCGAGUGGAAUUCCCGGUGUAGCGGUGAAAUGCGCAGAUAUCGGGAGGAACACCAAUGGCGAAGGCAGCUCGCUGGGACGGUACUGACGCUGAGGCGCGAAAGCGUGGAGAGCAAACAGG